UACGUAGGGUGCAAGCGUUAAUCGGAAUUACUGGGCGUAAAGCGUGCGCAGGCGGUUUUGUAAGACUGUCGUGAAAUCCCCGGGCUCAACCUGGGAAUGGCGAUGGUGACUGCAUGGCUAGAGUUUGGCAGAGGGGGGUAGAAUUCCACGUGUAGCAGUGAAAUGCGUAGAUAUGUGGAGGAACACCGAUGGCGAAGGCAGCCCCCUGGGUCAAGACUGACGCUCAUGCACGAAAGCGUGGGGAGCAAACAGG
rnacentral:rRNA from 1 species